GACAGAGGCCUCAAGCGUUAGGCGGAAUCACUGGGCUUAAAGCGUGUGUAGGCGGAUCGUUAAGUGUCUUGUGAAAUCCCACGGCUCACCCGUGGAACGGCUGGGCAUACUGGCGAUCUUGGGCCAACUAGGGGCAACUGGAACAAGCGGUGGAGCGGCGAAAUGCGUAGAUAUCGCUUGGAACGCCAAAGGUGAAAACAGGUUGCUGGGGAUGUUCUGACACUGAGACGCGAAAGCCAGGGGAGCGAACGGG
rnacentral:rRNA from 1 species